GCAUGUGCGCGAGUCAUUGGGACUCUGUUAAACCUAAAGGCGCAAUGAAAGUAAAGGUCCGCCUCGCGCGGACCGAGGGAGGAUGGGCCCGUCCACGGACGGGCCCCGCACUCCCGGGGCGUCUCGUCCUCAUCGCGAGGAGAGGCGCACCCAGAGCGUACACGCUGGGACCCGAAAGAUGGUGAACUAUGCCUGGUCAGGACGAAGUCAGGGGAAACCCUGAUGGAGGUCCGUAGCGAUUCUGACGUGCAAAUCGAUCGUCGGAACUGGGUAUAGGGGCGAAAGACU
rnacentral:rRNA from 1 species